rnacentral:rRNA from 1 species
GGGCUUAUCAUGCAGUCGAGCGAACAGAGAAGGAGCUUGCUCCUUCGACGKUAGCGGCGGACGGGUGAGUAACACGUGGGCAACCUACCUUAUAGUUUGGGAUAACUCCGGGAAACCGGGGCUAAUACCGAAUAAUCUGUUUCACCUCAUGGUGAAACACUGAAAGACGGUUUCGGSUGUCGCUAUAGGAUGGGCCCGCGGCGCAUUAGCUAGUUGGKGAGGUAACGGCUCACCAAGGCGACGAUGCGUAGCCGACCUGAGAGGGUGAUCGGCCACACUGGGACUGAGACACGGCCCASACUCCUACGGGAGGCAGCAGKAGGGAAUCUUCCACAAUGGGCGAAAGCCUGAUGGAGCAACGCCGCGUGAGUGAAGAAGGAUUUCGGUUCGUAAAACUCUGUUGUAAGGGAAGAACAAGUACAGUAGUAACUGGCUGUACCUUGACGGUACCUUAUUAGAAAGCCACGGCUAACUACGUGCCAGCARCCGCGGUAAUACGUAGGUGGCAAGCGUUGUCCGGAAUUAUUGGGCGUAAAGCGCGCGCAGGUGGUUUCUUAAGUCUGAUGUGAAAGYCCACGGCUCAACCGUGGAGGGUCAUUGGAAACUGGGAGACUUGAGUGCAGAAGAGGAUARUGGAAUUCCAAGUGUAGCGGWGAAAUGCGUAGAGAUUUGGAGGAACACCAGUGGCGAAGGCGACUAUCUGGUCUGUAACUGACACUGAGGCGCGAAAGCGUGGGGAGCAAACAGGAUUAGAUACCCUGUAGUCCA